UAUUCAACUGUCAAACUGAUUCUUCUUGAGAAUCAGACUAUGAAUCCAUAUUGUAGUCAAUUCUUCUGUUACAUAGUUGAGUCGCUUCGAUGACAGUGAUACCACAUUUAGUAUUUGACAAAAAUCAGCUUAAAGAUUUUCAAAUGCAGGUAAGUAAUUACAUUACUAUAUGCGUGUGUUCGCUUAUAAUCGUUUUAGUCCAAAGAAAGUUGUCGCUGAUAAGACAAUUCGUUAAGAAGCGAACAUACCCGAUAGUUGAUUUUAAAGAGAAUGAUGGGCCUACUUACUAAUCUUUUCUACUGUCCGCAGGGCAAGAAGUGGUUAAAUACUUCAAGACACAGCGCGGGAUCUCCAUCUCUGGCGAGGUUCCCACUUCUCACAUGGAACAACACUAGCCUAGGUUCUAUUGGCCUCUGUUCAGGCGUUACCUCCAACUGGUCAUGCCUGUUUGCCAGUACGAACGUGAACGGGUGCGGCUGGCAGCGUGUGUUCGCAGUCUUCCCAGGCGAGACCCAAAGAAUAAGGCUAAGGAUUCUAGAAGAGCAGCCUUAUAAAGGUAGGAUUUUUUCUUUUCUAUGCAUGGGCUUUUUAUUUUUUAUGUAUUUAGCAGUGGGGGAAAAGUGAAUAGUGCCUAUAGUGAUUAAAGUGAAAAUCAGCGAUUAAUUUUAGCAAUACUUCGUGUUGUGAUUCUAAAUAGGUUGUGGUCAUCUCCGCGGCUUACCAUUUUGGUGACCUACGAUUAACUGCAAUAAUUCCUCUUUCGCGAUGUCAAUCAAUUGACCUCAUGCACAGCAGUAGGACUAUGAGUUCAUAGCCGUACUGCUUACGUGAAGUAAAUUGAUUUUCUCUGCGAGUUACUAUGAAGAAGUAUUGCAGCUAAUUAUUACGUCCUCAAGGUGAAUGCCUUUGAGGGUGAUCAUAGUCCAUUUAUUAUCACACGAAGAUCUAUUUAUUCGUUUCUAAAAACAAGGUGAGUAAUUAAAUCGUUAUAGACGUGUUCGCUAAUUAAUUAGUCUUAUCCGAUCCCAUCAUGUGAUGAGGCUAAUUAUUAAACGAACACGCCUAGAAGUAUACUGUGAUGGUCGUACUGAUCUCAUCAAUUGUUCACAGCACCAUCUGCACCUGCUGGCCAGGAUUUAUCAUUAUCAACACCUGUGAUGGACCAGAUCGGAUAUGUCUACCCUUGAUUUUGGCGAACACGUUAUUGCAUAUGAAGCUAUCCGUACCUCAUCAUUCCAGUUUACCAGUUGGUAGUCCAUCAACGUCAACAAGUGCGAUUAUCUCCUGUUGUUAGUGUACCUUCCAGGCGAGACCCAAUCAAUAAGGCUAAAGG